AAAAAAAAAAAAAAAAAAACAAGCAUUAAAACGCUUAGUUACCAAAAGCAUGUAUACCCAUGUGAAAAGACGAUAAGAUAGCUUCAGAAGCAGCCUUUAGAGGACCAUUGAUGAACCUACCAGAAUCAAGACGGAAACACACCUAAGUCUAGUAAGCAGCUCUGCGUCU
rnacentral:ribozyme from 1 species